AGCGUAAUACCAUCAAUGGUUGCUUAAUGUGUUUGUGUAUUUCGAGUAGCGAUGGACCGAACACCAGAACUUAAGAAAUAAAACUUACGAAAUAAGAUGCCAUCAAGUCAAUAACAAAUAUCAUCAUAAGCAAGCUCGAGAAUGCCAACAUAGUACUCGUUUGAAUUUCUACCUAUAUAUAUAUUCAAACCAUGCCUACAAAACUGAAAACGCCGUCCCCCUCCAUAGAGCAUAUAUACCACCCGCCAGGGUUCAUGCUCCCAGUGAACCGGAUAUCACUGCCAAAGAUGUCACACAGCUACUUCACCACCUCGGAGAUUUCCUUGGAAGACAUGAGCUCUCUAAGAAAUGUGUCCCUUGACCAACCUACACAGAGGCUGCUGGCCAGACAGCUGGAGACGGAUCGCCACCUUGCUUGGAAGCAGCCAGCUUUCCGGUA
rnacentral:sRNA from 1 species